rnacentral:ncRNA from 2 species
ACAUCCCGUGCGGGAGAGUCCCCGCGUGAGCCGCGUGCGUUUCGACGCCCGGCCCACGGCGGGGCGCCGAAGGGGCAAACUCCCCGGAACCUCUCAGGCGCCAGGACUGCAUGGGACAG